rnacentral:rRNA from 1 species
CGGAAAGACCCCGUGGAGCUUUACUGUAGCCUGAUAUUGAAAUUCGGUACAGUUUGUACAGGAUAGGUAGGAGCCUUAGAAGCGUGAGCGCUAGCUUACGUGGAGGCAUUGGUGGGAUACUACCCUAAUUGUAUUGGAUUUCUAACCCGCAACUCUUAUCGAGUUGGGAGACAGUGUCAGGCGGGCAGUUUGACUGGGGCGGUCGCCUCCUAAAGAGUAACGGAGGCGCUCAAAGGUUCCCUCAGAAUGGUUGGAAAUCAUUCAUAGAGUGUAAAGGCAUAAGGGAGCUUGACUGCGAGACCUACAAGUCGAGCAGGGUCGAAAGACGGACUUAGUGAUCCGGUGGUUCCGCAUGGAAGGGCCAUCGCUCAACGGAUAAAAGCUACCCCGGGGAUAACAGGCUUAUCUCCCCCAAGAGUUCACAUCGACGGGGAGGUUUGGCACCUCGAUGUCGGCUCAUCGCAUCCUGGGGCUGUAGUCGGUCCCAAGGGUUGGGCUGUUCGCCCAUUAAAGCGGUACGCGAGCUGGGUUCAGAACGUCGUGAGACAGUUCGGUCCCUAUCCGUCGUGGGCGUAGGAAAUUUGAGAGGAGCUGUCCUUAGUACGAGAGGACCGGGAUGGACAUACCUCUGGUGUACCAGUUGUCGUGCCAACGGCAUAGCUGGGUAGCUAUGUAUGGACGGGAUAAGUGCUGAAAGCAUCUAAGCAUGAAGCCCCCCUCAAGAUGAGAUUUCCCAACUUCGGUUAUAAGAUCCCUCAAAGAUGAUGAGGUUAAUAGGUUCGAGGUGGAAGCGUAGCGAUACGUGGAGCUGACGAAUACUAAUCGAUCGAAGACUUAAUCAAUUU